UAAGAAUUUUAAGAAGUUGGAUUUAUGCGCGCUUUGAAUUAGUUUGAAUUAUAAUUUGCCAAUUAGACUGUUUGGAGGGAAUGAUGAACAUAAUGAUCCCCAAAUUUGCUUUCUCGCGUUCAAACCCUUCUUCCUUGCCGCCGCUGCCGUGUGCCGCCCAACUCCUGCUGCCAUCGCCACAGCGUGUCCGUUCUUUUCCUCUUCCAAUCACACAAUCGAAAACCUUAAUUUUUCAAUUCCCCCUCAUUCUUCCCUUUUUCCUGAGCGAGCACAACUCCAAAAUCUUAUCCUGAAUACAGUUCGAAUUUGGAAUUCUCGGAAUUACUUGUCUUUCUCUCCCAUUUAUGCAAGUUUGUUGAAAUGUCAUAUUUUUUUUAAAUUUUAUCGAUGAUUUGGUUGCUCGAUUUUGUAACUCUGUUGGUUGUUUACUAGUUUUCACAAUUAGCUUUUUUUUGUACGGUUCUACAAUCAUAUGUUUUUUUUUUUCGUGGUCUGUUGCUUGUUGAUGAAUCAUUGCUAGUGCUCGAUUGAUGGAGUGAUUCAAUGUGUCAUUUGUAUUUAUAUUUCCAAGUAUACAAAUUCUACGAGCUUAUUUAAGUGCUUUGUCAGAAUUGUUGGUUACUGAAGUGUUUAUUUAUGUGAUGAACCUAGAUUUGUGAGCGAAAAUGGAAGUUUUGAGUUGAUGGCAUUACUUGAGCGAAUUUAUUUGCUGUUAAAAUGGUCUAGAGUUUCUUUAUUAUGGUGAUCAAUUGUGAUUAAUUACAUGUACACUUCAGUAUAGGUUUCAUAUAUUGGGAAGUUCGUGAAGGAUUUACAUUUCUUUGUAUUAUUGAAAUAGUUUGUGGGCUUCUUUUGCAUAGCAUUAGAAAAGUUGGCCUCCUCUAUCAAAGAGGAGGUCCAUCAUUUAUCAUUUUUGUUUAUAUUAAUCUAGUCAUUCAACCUUCUGCCAAAUCUCGUAGAAUUACUAGUUAAAAGCAUGCAAUACCCCUACACAUUUAGAGCAUUUAAUAAACCAUUUCGACUUCAAGUUUAUCAGAUACCCGUGCAUAUUUUACUUGUUGUAUAAGUGGCUAUAUGUAGUUGGCAUGUAAGGAGGUUUUUGCAUAAACUUGUGCCCACUCUUUUUAUAGUGAAACUAUUUUUAUUUUUUGGAGGAUGCUUCUUUUUGGUGAUGUAAAAUAAUAUUGUUUCCACUCUGUAGGACUAUUUGUUUUUCAUGAAGAAAACCUCUUGUAGUGGUUGUGGUUGUGUCUCUGCUACUAAUACUAGACAAUAUUUUUCCUAACGUGUUGUGGUUGCUUUUAUUUCUCAACUAUUUUAGUAGUUUAAUUCUUCUGUGGAUUUGCAGUAGAUGAAGACACAAUGACAAUCAUUCCAGUUAUGAUUUGUGAUCGAUGUGACUACUACAAUGCGGCCUUCUGAAUGUCUCCUAGUGAUGUCCAAGAGGAACAAAGGAAAAGUGCAAUACGGAAAAGCAAAGAGGAAGACGAUGACAUUGAAUGUUUAUUUUCAUUUAUGGAAUUUGCAUUAUCGCGUAGCUAGAUAAAUUUAAACUUUGACAUUUGAUGUUAGAUUUUGAAGCAGACAGAUCAAAAUUAUGUUGUUUUGUUAUUAGUUUGACAUUUUUUUUCUAUAUUUUUAAUAAUUGAUAUGCUUUAUUCA